rnacentral:rRNA from 1 species
GACGAACGCUGGCGGCGUGCUUAACACAUGCAAGUCGAACGGUAAGGCUCCGCCUUGGUGGGGUGCACGAGUGGCGAACGGGUGAGUAACACGUGAGUAACCUGCCCUUGACUUUGGGAUAACUCUGGGAAACUGGGGCUAAUACCGGAUAGGAGCUUCUGCUGCAUGCUGGGGGUUGGAGAGUUUUCGGUGUGGGAUGGGCACGCGGCGUAUCAGCUUGUUGGUGGGGUAUUGGCGUACCAAGGCGUUGACGGGUAGCCGGCCUGAGAGGGUGACCGGCCACAUUGGGACUGAGACACGGCCCAGACUCCUACGGGAGGCAGCAGUGGGGAAUAUUGCACAAUGGGCGGAAGCCUGAUGCAGCAACGCCGCGUGCGGGAUGACGGCCUUCGGGUUGUAAACCGCUUUCGCCAGUGACGAAGCGUGUGUGACGGUAGUGGGUGAAGAAGCACCGGCUAACUACGUG